CAGUAAACAUUUGCUUGUAUGAACAUGAGACAGAGAGGAUAGAUGGGGUUUUGCAGCUUAAAGCAGGCGUGUUGAUGGUAUCACAGCUCUCUUCUCUAAUCGAGACAGAUCCUGUUUACUUGCAGGUCAAAGUGAAAGUGAAAGUGGCAGUUGUAUAUAAAUUGCUCUUAAUAAUCCCUCAACUCACAUUCUGCCUCUGACUUACUUCCAGUACAACAGCAGCCAUGGAAGGACGCUCCAGCUCUCCUGCCUCUCCACCCUCUCCACCCCAUCGACCUCGUCCACCCCGUCCACCUUCUCCACUCCCUCCACUCCCUCCACCCCCUCGAGACCCUCCAACCCCUGCUCCCCAUCCAGCCCUUCCACCUUGUAACAUCAUAUAACACUCUUAAGUUUUCAAGUAACCUUGGAGGACACUAAACUGGGCAGACAGAAGUGAUCUGCAGUAUGUGAAGGACUAUAAACCUCAGACUGACGGCCAGCAGCUCAGGAUUCUCCUUCAUGGACCAGCUGGAGCUGGAAAAUCCAGUUUCAUCAACUCUGCACUCUAAAAAAUAAAACAUUGGGUCAACAAAAAAAAACAUUAACGUUUUCCACUAGAAUUUUUAAGACUGCUGGCAGAAUUACAUUAAUUCAAAGCAAUGUUUUGAGUAUGGUGAAUUACCUUUUAGGCCACAAUAAAACACAUUUCUAAGUAACAUGAACUUAAUAAUUGUCAACAUGAAUGCAAGUAUUUAA